GAGGAGAUAGCUCAGUGGUAGAGUGUAUGCUUAGCAUGCACAAGGUCCUGGGCUCAAUCCCCAGUACCAUCA
rnacentral:tRNA from 1 species